GGGAGAUAUAUCAUCUCCUUUUUUAAAAAGUCAGACGUUUUAACUGAUUCCACACUACCCGGGUUUCCUACACUGACAUUUUCCUGAAGGGCUGCUGGCCAGGGAGAGCAGGACAUAUUAAGCUCCUGGUGCUGUAAGCUGAAGAGAUUCCUCGACCUAGCGGUCCAGCCGUGUAAUAAAUCUUUGGGAAGUGUGUGGUGGGGUCAUGUCCCUCCCUUUGGAGUGUAUAAUGUCACGUUAACAUGGUUUGGUAGCUGUUAGCAGAAACAUGGUGAAGAAGCCAUAAAAAGUGAUUUAUACCUUAUUACCAAAGCAGCUAAUAAUUACAGCAUCGAAUGGGCAGGCUAAGAUGCACGGGGGUAAGGGCAGAAUUAAGACGAGAUAAAUGGGAAGAACGACAUAUAUAUUCAUGAAAUAUGGGUGCUGCGGAAUGUUGAACCUGACCGUGUGGGUCCAUUACUAAAGGAGGUCAUUGGUGAUGAUUGUUGUGGGCAAUAGGGAUUUCCUUAAGGGAAGGUAUCAAGAGAGCAUUUCAAAUUAUUGUGAUAAACCCUCCUUUUUACAUCAAUGAGCUUGACUUUUUUAUAGGCGCUUUAGGUUCACAGCAACAUUGAGUGGAACGUACAGAGUUCCCACAUAACCUCAUUUCUUUAUUUCCAAACCACCCCAUCAUGGACAUUCUGGACCACAGCAGUACUUUUGUUGCAAUCAAUGAACCUACAUCAUUAACACUCAAAGCUCACAGUUUACAUUGGAAUAGUCUGUGGAUUUUGACAAAUGUGUCUGUACCCAUCAUUGUGGUAUCAUAUAGCGUAGUCUCGCUGUGGGGGUGUGGUUCAAGUGGGAAACCUAGUUCCUUGCAAAGUGGUCCCAUCCUCUCCCCAUGUCCUCUAUCCCUCGGGAACUUCCCUGUAUGUUUGCCAGAGAAAGAUCGACCUGUCCCAGUUGGAGGAACUUUCUCCAGCGGGCGGGGUUGGGGGAGGGGCUGCCCAGAGACCGACUUCAUUGUUUUCUGCUCAUUCCAGUACCCAGAGUUGCUGUUUUGCCCCCCCCCCCCCAGCAGAAGUAGAAUUCCUGCACAUUUUCCUCCCCUCAAGUACUUGGUCCACUUUUGCUCCUGCCUGCUCUUUCUUGCCCUGCCGUAUUUGUCUCUCCCAAAGUUUUUCACAGUUUUUAAGAUCUGAGGGCAAUCAACUCCUGUCUUGUUUUUGUUUCAUCUCCGGAGUUGGUUUUGGCUCAAGAGCCAGCAUCUUAUAUCAGUUCUCUUCUUGUCAGCCAAAGUAGAGAUUUAAACCUUCGUUUGUUUGACUCCCAAACCCAUGCUCUAUGAUGUCAUAAGUAGAGAGAGGACUUGGGCAUUAGAACAACUAGAAUUCCAGAUGCUAUCUUGAAAUGAGAAGCACAUAAGCAGUUGACUCUCCUAGAGAAAUUCAAGGGCACAUAUUUUCAUGCUCUGACCCAGAUGUAAUAAAACUUCAUUGCAGAAAAUUUUGAAAACACGCUCCUCUAAACUAGAUUCAACCACUAUUUUAUGGUAUAUUUCCUUCCAGUUUAUUUGUAUAAGUUUUUAAGGCAGAAGGAAAAUCAAUUUACAUUUUUUUCCUCUUUAAAAAAAAAAGAGAACACUAUGAAGAAAAAGGAAAAAUCUGAGGACAGUUCAAAGGGAAUCUCGCGUCAGCUUCAAAUACAGAGUGAUAUCCCGCUGAGAUCUUGGCAAGAAUAAACUUCUCCGGAAAUUCCUACCUCAUGCCAGUGAUUAAAAUAGUCAUUCACCAUCCAUGUCCUACAAUGGUCUAAAAUAAGUUGUUUUUUGGCCGUGCCUGUGACAUGCAGACGUUCCCGGGCCAGGGAUCAAACCCUUGCCACUGCAGUGACCCAAGCCACAGCAGUGACAAUGCUGGAUCCUGCACCUGCUGAGCUGCCAGGGAACUCCUAAAAUAAGUUCAGAAGAAACCCAAAAGUUUGUCUACUGUUAAGAGGCCUUCUCAUCUGUCCCCAGGUACUUAGACCUUGCCAAUUUGAUAGCUAUAGAUCUACAGCAUUUUGCUUUGUAUUUUGGAAGCAAUCCCCUUCAUCAAGACCUAAAUUCUUAGGUCACUUGCACCUCCCAGAAUCAUUAUUAGUUGCUUAAUUCAUAAAUCCUACCUUUAAAAAAACUAAACAGUGGUUUGAGGAAUUUUUUCCCCUCCUUUAGAAGAAUCCUGAUUCGGUAUUUAAUUAAGGAGUUCCCGUUGUGGCUCAGCAGGGUAAGCACCUCACUGGUAUCCAUGAGGAUGUGGAUUCGACCCUUGGCCUUGCUCUGGGGUUAAGGAUCCAGCGUUGCCGUGAACUGUGGUGUAGGUCACAGAUGCGGCUUGGAUCCUGAUUGCUGUGGCUGUGGUGUAGGCCGGCGGCUGUAGCUCCAAUUUGACUCCUAGCCUGGGAACUUCCAUAUGCCUUGGGUGUGGCCCUAAAAAGCAAAACAAUAAUAAUAGUAAUAAUGAAAAUGUAGAAGAAGGCACUGUGCUUGUGGGUCCCAACUUGUGUGGCCGUCGCUCCCUGAACUAAAGCCAAAGGAAAAUCCUCUAGAAGAUUCAGUGACCGCCUAAGGCUGUGAACAUUUUCUGAAGGUUUGGUGUAGACGAUUGUAUGCUAUGCAGAUCUUUAUCCAUUUUUAAAUUAAGUGACCCCACCGUCAUCUCCUUUGUGGCUGCGGCAUAACAUAUGCAGAAAACAAGGGAGAGCCGUGCAAGACACGGGCCCGUUGAUCAAAGAUCUUACAGUAGGCUCCCCUGGGUUUUUCCGCAGCUAAAAUGUCAUGCAGUAAAGUGACUAGACUGACGUAAAAUUUGAUCAACUUUAUUCUCAUUUGUCUACAGGAAAGUGAGUUUCCAGGGAGCCCACGCAGAGGAAACCAAUUCCUGCUACUUUCUCUGUGGGCCUCACCUAAUGGUGAUUAAUGAAUCUCCAGAGUUGCUCUCUUUUCUUUUUUUCUUUCACAUAUAUAGCUUUCUUGAGAUUCACAUCCCAUACAAUUCUCCCACUCAGAUUGUUGAACUCAGUGGCUUUUCAUAUGUUUACAGUUGUGCACGCUGUCACCAGUCAAUUUGGGGACAUUUUCAUGACCCCCAACAGAAGCCCUCUCUCCAUUAGCGGCCACUCCACAUUUCCUCCCAAGCUCCUCAUCCCCAGCCCAGACAGGCACCGAUUUACUUUCUGUCUUUAUAGAUCUGUCUCUUCUAGACACGCACCAUAUGUGCCAUGUGGCCUUUUGUGUCUGCUGGAUGUCACUUAGCGUAGCUUCGUCAAGGUUCACCCAUGUUGUAGCCCGGGUCGCGACGCCGUUCCUUUUUCUUGCUGGAGAAUAGUCCGUUGUAUGAGCAUAUGUGUCAUUUAUGUAUCCAGCAUCAGUUGAUGUGCAUCUGAAUUAUUUCCACUUUUUGCCUCUUAGGAAUAAUACUGCUGUGAACUUUGGGUGUUAGAUUUUGUAUGGAAGACUGUCAUACCUAGUUGGGGAAUUGCUGUGUCAUACGGUAACUCUGUUUAAACUCUGGAGGAGCUGCCUGAGUUCCCACUUUUUUUUUUUUUUUUUUUUUUUUUUGGCCAUGCAGAUGGCAUGUGUGUCUCCAGGCCAGAGAUCAAAGCCAUGCCACAGCAGUGACCUGGGCCACGCAGUGAUAAAGCUGGAUCCUUAACCCGCUGAGCUUCCAGGGAACUCUCUCACUUUUUUGAUCUAGUUAAUUCCUCAUCCUUCAAAAGUUGCUCAGAGAAGAUGUCAGUUGCCCCCCCCCCCCACUUACUUUACUUCUCCUGUUAUAGCCUUACACAGCACACAGUACGUCAUAGGUGCUAUUAAAUUUGUGAUCCCGUAGUUCCUGAGACGUGAGCUCCAGCAGGCAAGGAGAAUAUCUGUCUAGCUCACUGCUGCCAACCCCCCGGAUAAGCACUGAAUACACAUCUACUGAAUGAAUGAACGCGUGAAUGAAAUGAGUUCCUAUUUUCUCAAAGCUUAAGGAGCUGAUACACCAAGGCAUCUUAUUUCUUAACACAUUCAGUUUUGUUUUUUUAGCAUGAAAGUUCCCAAUCAUGACAUUUUCUAUUUAAACGUGCCUAAUAAUUUUGAGGCGCAUUUUCCAGGGAUCAUCAACUGCCUUAGAAAAUCAGAAUGGAAGAGGAUAUCACCCAGCUGAAGAGGGCGACUCGUGGACGAUCGAAGGCUCCGCCCCCGCCUAUCCCUGCACUUUUAGACUUUGACCCCCCAUACCACCUGCCUACUUAGAGAACACGUGGGAAUACAGACAACCCUAUGUCACUAAGGCCUAGAGUGGCAAACAAUGAUAACUAGAUCCUAUUAGCUUAGAUGUUGCAUUUGCACAUGGUAGAUAGUUAUUAUAUUGUUUAGUCUGAAUGUAAUUUAUCUGUAUAUGUAUUUAUCUCAUUGAAAAAAUUGGAGUUUAUUUACCCAUGUAAGCAUUUCUUUCACUGAAAAAAAUAUGGAACUUAGAGACUGGUACAAUAUUCUGGAAGGGCGAUUUGACUACUUAUCUCUUUUUAAAUGUAUAUACCUUUUUAUCUGACAAACCUACUUCGAGGAUUUGAUUUUGAGGAGAUAAACCUAGAAUUGAGUGUAUGUGUGAAUAUGUAUAUACAUAAAGAUUUUUAUUGCUAUUAUUUUUAAUGUAAGGGAAAAUUAGAAAUAAGUUCUCCUUCCAAUAAUAGAUCAAUAAAAAUGAAUUCCCCUCUCUAGUUGAAUAUCUGUAGCUUGUGUGACUGAUGCUCUAGGAUAUGUAUUGACAUGGAAACACUUGCCACAUUGCUAAGUGAAAAAGCUAAGUUUCAAUAAAUUACACACACAUUGAUACACAUAGUAUAUAACAAUUUUAAUCUUUUCAAAUCCCAUAAAAAAUUUAGUAUGAAAGCCGAAGUUGCAACAUUCCUUUAUCCAUAUGACUUUAGGAAUUUCAUGGUUUUAUUAGCAAAAUAAAUCAUGUGAGAAAUGAGCAUGAAAUUUAAAAUGUAACAGCAUGUUGUCAUAUAGGCAGAAUUGAGCCUUUGAUUCUCAAAGCAUUGCUCCUUCCUGAUUAUAUCAGCAAGUUUCUGGAAACUUCUUGACAUGCUUCCCUAGCUGCUUAGAAAAUGCAUCCUUGAUCUUGGUAUUUUGUUUUCUGUAGG
rnacentral:lncRNA from 1 species